rnacentral:rRNA from 1 species
GAUGAACGCUGGCGGCGUGCCUAAUACAUGCAAGUCGAGCGAACGGACGAGAAGCUUGCUUCUCUGAUGUUAGCGGCGGACGGGUGAGUAACACGUGGAUAACCUACCUAUAAGACUGGGAUAACUUCGGGAAACCGGAGCUAAUACCGGAUAAUAUUUUGAACCGCAUGGUUCAAAAGUGAAAGACGGUCUUGCUGUCACUUAUAGAUGGAUCCGCGCUGCAUUAGCUAGUUGGUAAGGUAACGGCUUACCAAGGCAACGAUGCAUAGCCGACCUGAGAGGGUGAUCGGCCACACGGGAGCUGAGCCACGGUCCAGACUCCUACGGGAGGCAGCAGUAGGGAAUCUUCCGCAAUGGGCGAAAGCCUGACGGAGCAACGCCGCGUGAGUGAUGAAGGUCUUCGGAUCGUAAAACUCUGUUAUUAGGGAAGAACAUAUGUGUAAGUAACUGUGCACAUCUUGACGGUACCUAAUCAGAAAGCCACGGCUAACUACGAG